UUUACAGAUGUUUAGUGCGCCUGGCACUCUGCUGGUCUCCAGUACUCUGUUCUGGAAAUCCAGUAGAGAACAAGGCAAUCCAGUCCCUACUCUUUCUGUGCUUUUGGUUUUCGAGGGGACACAGGGAGGUCUUUGAUGGGGCUAGCGAGAGCUGCUUGUCUUGUGGGUAAAGCCGAGUUAGAGGGUGAAGAGUGAGUGUGUAGAGGAGAAUCGGAAACAGUGUAUAGAGAUCACUCCUUUUUUCUUUUUCUUUUUUUUUAGUGCUGGGGACUGAACUCAGGGUCUUGUGCGUGCUAGGUAAGCACUCAACCACUGAGCUACACACCAUCCCUGAAAGAGCCCUGAGAUCACUAGUUCAGCUGGGAAAGUAGCUCAGUGGUGGAGUGUUUGUGUAGCAUGCGUGAGCCUCUGGUUUGGAUCCCCAGCACCACCUGUUGUCAGGCUUCUUUUUUCUUACAGAUGGGAAAGAUGAAAAGAAUAGAAGAGGGGCUGGGGCUCAGGGGUAGAGCGCUUGCCUAGCAUGUGUGAGGCUUUGGGUUUGAUUCUCAGCACUGCAUAUAAAUAAAUAAGAUAAAGGGAAAAAUAUAAAGAAUCAAGGAGACCGGGUGAUGGUAAAAAGAUAGUAAAAGAUGGUAAAAAGGCAGGCGCUGGGCAUGGUGCCACACGCCUGUAAUCCCAAUGGUUUGGUGGGAGCUGAGGCAGGAGGAUUACAAGUUCCAGGCCAGCCUGGGCAACUUAAUGAAAUCCUGUCUCAAAAUAAAAAUAAAAAAGGGCUGAGGAUAUAGCUCAGUUGGUAGAGUGCUUGCUUUGCAUGCACAAGGCCCUGGGUUCAAUCCCCAGCAGAACACACAUAAAACAAUAAUAAUAAAAUAAAAUAAAAGGGCUGAGAUAUAGCUCAGUGAUAGAGCACUCCGGGUUCAUUCCCCAGUAUCACAAAACAAAACAAAACAUCAGACACAAAUCUGUGUCCUGACAGAAUAGGCAAAGAUAGACAAUAAGCAUCCUGAGUAAGUAAAUUACAUAAUAUCAUAGUAUGUUAGUUAUGACAUUAGAAAAUCCAGUAGAGCGUUGUAAGGAGGAAUCAGGAAUACCAGUAGAGGUUGCAAUUAAAAAAAGAUAUUUUAGGCUCCUCCCCGUAGUGUGCCCGGCUCUCUUACAGUUGCUGUGGAGGAUUAUGUUGUUAAGGGACAUUCUGCUCACCGGUAUUCCAAGCUUUGAAAAAACUACACUAUGCAAAGAACUUGUAUCACGAUCAGGACUGAGGGCUGGGGAUAUAGCCCAGUUGGUAGAGUACUUGCCUUGCACAGACAAGGCCCUGGGUUCAAUCCCCAGCACCACACACACACACACACACACACAAAGAUCAGGACUGAAAUACAUGAAAUCAAUGUGGGUGAUUUGGCUCAAGACGUUUGAUCACCGGAUAUCAUGGAGUCUGGCAAGAUGGCUUCUCCCAUGAACAUUACAGAAAGACACACAGAUGAUGGCACAAAUCGUGAAGGAUAUGGGAUUGCAGAAUUUGAGCCAAGAGUUAUAAAUCAGAUGUUGGGAUUUGCCUUCUAAUAUGUGGCCCCAAUUCUGGAUGAUGCUAAAAUUUAUCCCAGCCAUGCUAAGAAGCUACUGUGGAUGCAGAUGGUGAGUGAUUGGCAAUCUGGCGUGGAGCUGACCAGUCUUCACCUUUCUUCCCCCAGAAAAUUUUUUUUUAUUAGAUAUUGCAAGGCAAAGAAAUCAAAUUCCUUUGCCAUUGAUCAGGCCAUAUUCAGAUCCUAGAUUGCCUCCUGAUGGAUAUUGCUUAACAGCUACAAAGUAUAGGCUCAAGUUUUUACAAAAAAAAAAAAAAAAAAGCAUGUACUUCUGUGGGGAGAAUAACAGUUCCGUGGUUAAGUGUUGGUUCAGUUACUAGCAGACCAAGGACUCCCACACUGGGCACACCAACCCUACAAACCAUGUUGUCCCAUGUCUGUUUCAGCUAAGUAGGGACUCCAACGUCUCCAUCAGGGCACAGGUUUACCAACAGAAGCCUCAAUUCCUGCAGCAUCAGCAGUUCAGAAUGUUGUGAUUAAUGAUGGAAUCAUUGUUAAUUGGAUAAAAAAAUUCCUUUUUUAAAAAUUUUGUUAGCUGUUGACGGACCUUUAUUUUAUUAUUUUUAUGUGGUGCUGAGAAUUGAAUCCAGUGCCUCCGGCUUGUUAGGCAAGCGCUCUACCAC
rnacentral:lncRNA from 1 species